CAAAUGUCACAAAAUGCCCCCAGCUUCCAACUCUCUGCCCUGGAAAUAAUGUAAACUUGAUGGAUGAAUUGAUGGAGAGACAAUAGCAAAUACAACAUGCAACAUGCCACGAGGUGGGCAUCGUUUGAGGUAUUGCUCAUCAAAAUCUAUGGAGAGACGGCCAGCAAAAAUUAUUCAACCAACACUAAAAAAAAUUAGAAAAAGUCCAAAAAGAGUACCUGUUGAAGGGUUGCGCGCCCAGCUGCCAGAGAAUUUCUGGCCUCACACUCGAAAAAUAUUGGAAAAGAAAAUACUAAAAUUGAAUAAAAGCCUAAACCAUGUCGGUUUUAAGUAUUGAUCGAGCAUUUUAAGCUUAA